rnacentral:rRNA from 1 species
UGGGGAAUAUUGCACAAUGGGCGCAAGCCUGAUGCAGCCAUGCCGCGUGUGUGAAGAAGGCCUUCGGGUUGUAAAGCACUUUCAGCGGGGAGGAAGGCAAUAAGGUUAAUAACCUCAUCGAUUGACGUUACCCGCAGAAGAAGCACCGGCUAACUCCGUGCCAGCAGCCGCGGUAAUACGGAGGGUGCAAGCGUUAAUCGGAAUUACUGGGCGUAAAGCGCACGCAGGCGGUCUGUCAAGUCGGAUGUGAAAUCCCCGGGCUCAACCUGGGAACUGCAUUCGAAACUGGCAGGCUAGAGUCUUGUAGAGGGGGGUAGAAUUCCAGGUGUAGCGAUGAAAUGCGUAGAGAUCUGGAGGAAUACCGGUGGCGAAGGCGGCCCCCUGGACAAAGACUGACGCUCAGGUGCGAAAGCGUGGGGAGCAAACAGG